UUACAUUUCAUUCUAGGAACCACUGCGCGCCACUGAAAUUUUAUCGAAGUCUAAUUUAACUUACAUAAUGAGUUGAAUUGAGUACUUGUUAUCAAAUUUGAGCAAUUCAUAGCCCCGUAAUGUGGAAUGAUCAAAUAAAUUAAAAGGGAAUUUAUUCAAUAUUUUGUUGCGAUCCUUUUUUUCGAAACCAUUGCUAUUUUGUAGGGAAUUUCCUUCUGCUCCGGCUGCCCGAGGUGGGUGACAUGUGUCAUAAAAACCCCAGCAGCAGCCGGAGAAGCAGCAGCAGCCAAGUGUCCUGAGAGCUGACAGAAGAUAAAGGGCAACAUUUCCAGUUAUAGCUUCUUCCCCCGCACCAUCACUCUUCCUGCAGAUGGAGGGAGAGGGAUCGUAAAAUGCACGCUCUUACUUUGAAAAAUACCUUUGGAUCCUACAUCUUUUUUUUUUUUUUUUUUUUUUUUUUUUUUUUUUUUUUUUGAUAAUGCUUCCGGGUGACAGAGGAGCAGAAGGGUGAGCAUGUCGCGGGCCCGGCUGGUGCCACCGGGAGCCACUCGCCGGGGCGAGCUCGGGGCCAUCCCCCGCAAGGCUGCGGCCCCCCGGGCACCGGGCUGUGCCCCCUCCCGCACCCAGCUCGGAGCGGGGAGCGGGCUGUGCCUUUCGGGGAGGCCUCCCCCGUUGCUUCCCCUCCCACUCGUGUGCACAGGAGCGGGCGUGGGCGCAGCGCUGCCCGCCCCGCCGCGGUGCCCGUGCGGGCACGGCGCUUUGUGUGCGGCCCGAGGCUCCGCAGCCGCUGCUGGCGCCUCGGGGAGGGGGGCUCCGGGUGAAAGGACGGUGUAAAAUGCAAACUAAUGCUAUGCAUUUGUACACAAUAACUGGGCAUAACAGAUAAUUAUUAAAUACAUACUUUGGGCUUGCGUAAGACGUUAUAUACAACCUAUAUUUAUAUCUAUACCCCUUGAGUUACCCUCCAAGAAGAAGGUCAGUUCCCUGGACAUGAACAUUUAUUUUUCUUUCUCACAGCAUACACACACACGCACACAUUUUUUAACUGCCUGUGGCCUCGUUGGCGGAUUAUAAAUGUCUCCUUCUCGCUGUGAUUUGUUUAAUCCGUGGAAAUGGUGCUGGUCCUAUGUAAACAAGCCAAGUGCGGAAUGAAGGCAGUCACCCAUGCGUGGCCAGCCUGCCUAUUUGUCAGAAAACCUUCAUAAAUACUGAGCCGGGGCUGGGCAAGGAUGUGAUGUCUCCAUUUUUGCCAGGAAAGGGCACGGGGAAGACAAAGCGAGGCAGAGCGCCGUGUAACCUUUCAGGGAGAGCGAGCGCGGAGCUCCCGCCCGCCGGGGCCGGGCCCGGGGCCGGGGCCGGUCGUGCCCGGCCGCCGCCCGCCCCCGGGACGGUGAACCGGCGCUCGGGAGGCAGUGCAAUAACACCCCUGUAGAACGCAAACGUCCAGCAUAUUCACGCGGGCAAAAUUACACACCAAGCCCAGGGCGCCGAGAGGUUGUCGUUCAGGUAGGUGGUGGGAGGCGGCUCGGGGAAUACGGCACAUUCUCUUAGCUACCGCAUGAAUACAGUUUGUGGUGUCCAUCAAGUCCUUCUCGUAAAGGUGGUUUGGUAAAUUAACAGAUUCGCUGUAUAAUCAGGCAUGCGGUACAGAGGCCAGUGAGCUCUCCCGUUUAACCAGGUCAGCGCCAAGUUAUUACUGGAGAAGGGGAAAAAAACCUACAGAAACGGCAACAACAGGGAAACAUCUAAUCUUUUUAAAGAAAUUAAAUAACAUGGCUCCAAUUUUCAAUGCAACAAGGCUUACGCUACGAAGAACAGAAGCGAACAGCUCUUCAGGGUUACUGGAUGCCCAGAAGAAUUAAUAACCUGAAGAGGAGGAAGAGAAAGGGGAGAAGUAAACCUGUCCUGGAGCAUCUCCACCUGUUUUGUGGGAGUGGCAGCUUGUGAGGCUGGGGGUGUGGUGUUGAAGCCCUGGAUAAACCCUUCCUCCCCAAGCAGAGCUCUCAAACAACUCCAUUGGAUGAGUCUCGUGUCCCCAUCUCUUUUUCCCACCUAACACAUAGAGACACAUGUAAAUGAAAAUAAGUGAUAUCUUUUUUUCUGUAUUCAAGUGAGAAGCCUGCCACGGCAGGGAUCUGCUUCCCCAAACACAGUACAUGGAUUGAGCACAUCAUCCUUACACCUCUCUUUCAGUAGUUACCUGUCCUUACUUAACAUUUGGUUUCAUGCUAGGCCUCAAGGAAAGAAGGACGAGAAAUUAUUCUCUGUAUACAGACCAAAUGUACGUUUUGUUUAAUGCUGGGUCAGGCAACCUACCACACUGCCUUGGAUUAUCCAGUUUUCUCUAGUCUGCUCUUCUUAGUAAACAGAAACCUGGAACAAUCAGGAUACAAAACUAAUUCAGACACUGCAAUCUGUAACCCCAAACACAGUUUAUCCAUGUGCUGUGUCUCCAUGCUCUGAAAAACACAGCAUGCAGAGUGAAUUUGUCCUUUUGUUUCUCAUGCAAAGAGAAAUGGAGCUGGACUGAUGCCAUAUAUCUCAGCCCGUGCACAGCUUCUCCUACUGGCAGGGAGUUCACACCAGGUACAAGGCCUGUCCUGAUGGCUGAAGGUUGGACAAGACUCCAGGGUGCUAGUAGUGUAAGAGACUUUGAGCAGAAAACACACAGAUUUAUGGCUAAAUGGGUGGACCAGGUCUGGACCUGGGACUUCCCAUGGGUUAUUUAGGUGAUGUCAGUCUUUUGUUUCUCCAACUUGAUGGUGUGUUCUCACACGCUGUGUCCUUUUUCCUCUGCUAUAGGAAUAAAAGGCUGUUGGAAACAUGAAUGGGAGUAAACAAAUGGCUAAUGCAUUAAUAGGGCAUGACAGACUAGAAAAAAGCUGAGAAAAGUUUCCAAACAAAUACUUAACAGGUAGCAAGUGAGGGUAUCAUAAGUAAAUACAAGACUAAAGUAGGCCUUGCAGUCUUCAUGGUUCUUUUUAUCUGCAAAUUUGUGCUAACAGGUAAAAUGGUUGGUUAGAUACUCAUCAUCAGCACUAUCAGCAUGGUUUUAUGUAAUCACAGGUGUCUUUUCAUCCUGUAAAACAAUUCCAGAAAUAAAAACAAGAUGCAAGAGGUCCUCUGAUAGCAUUACAUUGGAAAUGUUGGUUAAGAGGACAGUUCAUUCUC